rnacentral:rRNA from 1 species
CAACCAGACUCCUACGGGAGGCAGCAGUGGGGAAUAUUGCACAAUGGGGGAAACCCUGAUGCAGCGACGCCGCGUGAGUGAAGAAGUAAUUCGUUAUGUAAAGCUCUAUCAGCAGGGAAGAAAAUGACGGUACCUGAGUAAGAAGCCCCGGCUAACUACGUGCCAGCAGCCGCGGUAAUACGUAGGGGGCAAGCGUUAUCCGGAUUUACUGGGUGUAAAGGGAGCGUAGACGGCGGUGCAAGUCUGGAGUGAAAGCCCGGGGCCCAACCCCGGGACUGCUCUGGAAACUGCGUCGCUGGAGUACGGGAGGGGCAGGCGGAAUUCCUGGUGUAGCGGUGAAAUGCGUAGAUAUUAGGAGGAACACCAGUGGCGAAGGCGGCCUGCUGGACGAUGACUGACGUUGAGGCUCGAAAGCGUGGGGAGCAAACAGGAUUAGAUACCCCAGUAAG